ACGAACGCUGGCGGCGUGCUUAACACAUGCAAGUCGAACGGUAAGGCCCCUUCGGGGGUACACGAGUGGCGAACGGGUGAGUAACACGUGAGCAACCUGCCCUUGACUCUGGAAUAACAGUUGGAAACAGCUGCUAAUACUGGAUAUGACCGUCCUCCUCCUGGGGGGUGGUGGAAAGCUCCGGCGGUCAGGGAUGGGCUCGCGGCCUAUCAGCUUGUUGGUGAGGUAAUGGCUCACCAAGGCUUCGACGGGUAGCCGGCCUGGGAGGGCGACCGGCCACACUGGGACUGAGAUACGGCCCAGACUCCUACGGGAGGCAGCAGUGGGGAAUAUUGCACAAUGGGCGAAAGCCUGAUGCAGCAACGCCGCGUGCGGGAUGACGGCCUUCGGGUUGUAAACCGCUUUCACCUAUGACGAAGCUAACGUGACGGUAGUAGGAGAAGAAGGACCGGCUAACUACGU
rnacentral:rRNA from 1 species